rnacentral:rRNA from 1 species
GUGGGGAAUCUUGCGCAAUGGGCGAAAGCCUGACGCAGCCAUGCCGCGUGAAUGAUGAAGGUCUUAGGAUUGUAAAAUUCUUUCACCGGGGACGAUAAUGACGGUACCCGGAGAAGAAGCUCCGGCUAACUUCGUGCCAGCAGCCGCGGUAAUACGAAGGGGGCUAGCGUUGCUCGGAAUUACUGGGCGUAAAGGGCGCGUAGGCGGACAGCUUAGUCAGAGGUGAAAGCCCAGGGCUCAACCUUGGAAUUGCCUUUGAUACUGGCUGUCUUGAGUUUGGGAGAGGUGAGUGGAACUCCGAGUGUAGAGGUGAAAUUCGUAGAUAUUCGGAGGAACACCAGUGGCGAAGGCGGCUCACUGGCUCGAUACUGACGCUGAGGUGCGAAAGCGUGGGGAGCAAACAGGAUUAGAAACCCCUGUAGUCC